rnacentral:rRNA from 1 species
GUUGUAUGGUUAAGUGACUAAGCGUACACGGUGGAUGCCUUGGCAGUCAGAGGCGAUGAAAGACGUAGUAACUUGCGAUAAGCCCAGAUUAGGUAGUAACAACCAUUUGAGUCUGGGAUUUCUGAAUGGGGAAACCCACGUGCAUAAGCACGUAUCCUUACCUGAAUACAUAGGGUAAGGAGGCGAACCGGGGGAACUGAAACAUCUAAGUACCCCGAGGAAAAGAAAUCAACCGAGAUUCCGAAAGUAGCGGCGAGCGAAAUUGGACUAGCCCUUAAGCUUUACACGCGUUAGACGAACGGUCUGGAAAGUCCGACGAUACAGGGUGAUAGUCCCGUAGUUGACGACGUGUGUUCAGUGAAAUCGAGUAGGGCGGGACACGUGAUAUCCUGUCUGAAUAUGGGGGGACCAUCCUCCAAGGCUAAAUACUACUGACUGACCGAUAGUGAACCAGUACCGUGAGGGAAAGGCGAAAAGAACCCCUGUGAGGGGAGUGAAAUAGAACCUGAAACCGUGUACGUACAAGCAGUAGGAGCAGGCUUUGUCCUGUGACUGCGUACCUUUUGUAUAAUGGGUCAGCGACUUAUAUUCAGUGGCAAGGUUAACCAUCUAGGGGAGCCGUAGGGAAACCGAGUCUUAACUGGGCGUUCAGUCUCUGGAUAUAGACCCGAAACCAGGUGAUCUAGCCAUGGGCAGGUUGAAGGUUGAGUAACAUCAACUGGAGGACCGAACCGACUAAUGUUGAAAAAUUAGCGGAUGACUUGUGGCUAGGGGUGAAAGGCCAAUCAAACCUGGAGAUAGCUGGUUCUCCCCGAAAGCUAUUUAGGUAGCGCCUCGGACGAAUACUACUGGGGGUAGAGCACUGUUAAGGCUAGGGGGUCAUCCCGACUUACCAACCCUUUGCAAACUCCGAAUACCAGUAAGUACUAUCCGGGAGACACACGGCGGGUGCUAACGUCCGUCGUGGAGAGGGAAACAACCCAGACCGCCAGCUAAGGUCCCAAAUUACUACUAAGUGGGAAACGAUGUGGGAAGGCUCAGACAGCCAGGAUGUUGGCUUAGAAGCAGCCAUCAUUUAAAGAAAGCGUAAUAGCUCACUGGUCGAGUCGGCCUGCGCGGAAGAUGUAACGGGGCUAAGUAGUAAACCGAAGCUGCGGCAAUAUACUUUUGUAUAUUGGGUAGGGGAGCGUUCUGUAAGCGGUUGAAGGUGUGUGGUAACGCAUGCUGGACGUAUCAGAAGUGCGAAUGCUGACAUGAGUAACGAUAAAGGGGGUGAAAAACCUCCUCGCCGGAAGACCAAGGGUUCCUGUCCAACGUUAAUCGGGGCAGGGUAAGUCGACCCCUAAGGCGAGGCCGAAAGGCGUAGUCGAUGGGAAACGGGUUAAUAUUCCCGUACUUCUUACAAUUGCGAUGGGGGGACGGAGAAGGCUAGGUGGGCCUGGCGACGGUUGUCCAGGUUCAAGUGCGUAGGCUGAGAGAUUAGGUAAAUCCGGUUUCUCUUAAGGCUGAGACACGACGUCGAGCACCUACGGGUGUGAAGUCAUUGAUGCCAUGCUUCCAGGAAAAGCCUCUAAGCUUCAGAUUGUAAGGAAUCGUACCCCAAACCGACACAGGUGGUCGGGUAGAGAAUACCAAGGCGCUUGAGAGAACUCGGGUGAAGGAACUAGGCAAAAUGGUACCGUAACUUCGGGAGAAGGUACGCUCUCGACGGUGAAGUCCCUUGCGGAUGGAGCUAUUGAGAGUCGCAGAUACCAGGUGGCUGCAACUGUUUAUUAAAAACACAGCACUGUGCAAAAUCGUAAGAUGACGUAUACGGUGUGACGCCUGCCCGGUGCCGGAAGGUUAAUUGAUGGGGUUAGACUUCGGUCGAAGCUCUUGAUCGAAGCCCCGGUAAACGGCGGCCGUAACUAUAACGGUCCUAAGGUAGCGAAAUUCCUUGUCGGGUAAGUUCCGACCUGCACGAAUGGCGUAAUGAUGGCCACGCUGUCUCCACCCGAGACUCAGUGAAAUUGAAAUCGCUGUGAAGAUGCAGUGUACCCGCGGCUAGACGGAAAGACCCCGUGAACCUUUACUACAGCUUGGCACUGAACAUUGACCCUACAUGUGUAGGAUAGGUGGGAGGCUUUGAAGCA